rnacentral:rRNA from 1 species
GUUUGAUCCUGGCUCAGAGCGAACGUUGGCGGCGUGCUUAACACAUGCAAGUCGAGCGAGAAAGCACCCUUCGGGGUGUGAGUAAAGCGGCGCACGGGUGAGUAACACGUGAGUAACAUGCCUUCAGGCUGGGGAUAACUACCCGAAAGGGUGGCUAAUACCCAAUAAGACCACAGCGGCUUCGGCUGCAGGGGUCAAAAUUCCGGUGCCUGAAGAUUGGCUCGCGGUUCAUUAGGUAGUUGGCGGGGUAAUGGCCCACCAAGCCGAAGAUGAAUAGCUGGUCUGAGAGGAUGAUCAGCCACACUGGGACUGAGACACGGCCCAGACUCCUACUGGAGGCAGCAGUGGGGAAUCUUGCGCAAUGGACGAAAGUCUGACGCAGCAACGCCGCGUGUGUGAUGAAGGCUCUCGGGUCGUAAAGCACUGUCAGAAGGGAAGAACGCAGACGGUACCUUCAAAGGAAGCGCCGGCUAACUCCGUGCCAGCAGCCGCGGUAAUACGGAGGGGGCUAGCGUUGUUCGGAAUUACUGGGCGUAAAGCGC